rnacentral:lncRNA from 10 species
AGAUUGCAACACAAUACCACAGUGAGGAAAGCCAGAUGUUGCCCACAUCCCCCUCGGAGAAACCCGCCAGGGGCAUGUUGGGACGUUGGGAGUGUGAGCCCUGGAGACAGUGUUGUGGCAGGGAUCCAGGUUCUCCCAGCUGCCGGCCACAGGGCUCUGCCCAGGGGUCCUGAGUUUCCUCAAUGGCAUUCUAAUCCAUGAGUGUUCAGAGAGAGCAGGUGGGCUCCCCUACCCGGCGCCUUCCGACCGGCAUCUGGAAAAGGAUAGUCAGAAACGCAGUGAAAAUUACGCCUGCAACCCUGGCAGGCAGGGAAGCACUUAAUAACUUACGUGGGUGUCAGGGCAAGGGAGGCGUCCGCAGACCAGAGUUGUGAUGGACCGUUCUCCACCAUGUGAUGUUCAUUUUCUCCACUGAGAUUAAAAAAGAAGAGGAAAGGAAAGAAGGAAAGUGCACAACCUCCUUGAAAAGACAGCUCCUCCUGCCGAAAAUGUGUUGCAGACUCGGUCAGUCAGGUGGACUUAAUUGGAAGGCACUUUCUUUUUGAUGGAAAAAGAAGGAGAAAGAU